rnacentral:tRNA from 1 species
UCGAAAUCGGUAGACGCUACGGACUUAAAAUCCGUCGACUUUCUAAGUCGUGAGGGUUCAAGUCCCUCUAUCCCCAA